GACGAACGCUGGCGGCGCGCCUAACACAUGCCAGUCGAACGGAGCUGCGAGAAGCUUGCUUUUCUUAGCUUAGUGGCGAACGGGUGAGUAACGCGUGAGUAACCUGCCCUGGAGUGGGGGACAACAGUUGGAAACGACUGCUAAUACCGCAUAAGCCCACGAUCCGGCAUCGGAUUGAGGGAAAAGGAUUUAUUCGCUUCAGGAUGGACUCGCGUCCAAUUAGCUAGUUGGUAAGGUAACGGCCCACCAAGGCGACGAUUGGUAGCCGGACUGAGAGGUUGAACGGCCACAUUGGGACUGAGACACGGCGCAGACUCCUACGGGAGGCAGCAGUGGGGGAUAUUGCACAAUGGGGGAAACCCUGAUGCAGCGACGCCGCGUGGAGGAAGAAGGUUUUCAGAUUGUAAACUCCUGUCGUUAGGGACGAUAAUGACGGUACCUAACAAGAAAGCACCGGCUAACUACGUG
rnacentral:rRNA from 1 species